GAGUAAGAUGUUCUAAAUGAUGUGUUGACCUCAUUUUUCAAUUCAUUGGUCCUUUAUGAAAUAUAUUUUUUAAUGUGUGAAAGAUAGUUUGAAAUGCAAGUAUAACACUUAUGUAGAGAAGGUAGGAUUAGCACUAGAAAACUGACAGACUUUGGAAACUUUUUAGAAUAUUAAAGUGGAAUCAGGAGAGCCCAGAGGUCCUUUGAAUCAUCUCUACAGAGAACUGAAAUUUCUUCUUGUUUUGGCUGAUGGUUUGAGGACUGGUGUCACUGAAUGGCUCGAGCCCCUGGAAGCAAAAUCUGCUGUUGAACUUGUUCAGGAAUUUCUGAAUGACUUAAAUAAGCUGGAUGGAUUUGGUGAUUCUACAAAAAAAGACACUGAGGUUGAGACCUUGAAGCAUGACACUGCUGCAGUCGAUCGUUCCGUCAAGCGUCUUUUCAAAGUUC
rnacentral:lncRNA from 1 species